CACGUAGGCACCAAGCGUUGUCCGGAUUUAUUGGGCGUAAGGAGCUCGUAGGCGGUUCAGUAAGUCAGGUGUGAAAUCUUUGGGCUUAACCCAAAGCGUGCACUUGAUACUGCUGUGACUUGAGUUCGGUAGGGGAGUGGGGAAUUCCUAGUGUAGCGGUGAAAUGCGCAGAUAUUAGGAGGAACACCGGUGGCGAAGGCGCCACUCUGGGCCGAAACUGACGCUGAGGAGCGAAAGCGUGGGUAGCAAACAGG
rnacentral:rRNA from 1 species